CCUCAGGGGCGGCCGGGCCCGGGUCUUUCAGCGGUGGCCGGGGUCGGGUCCCUCAAGGGCGGCCGGGCCUGGGUCUUUCAGCCGGGGCCGGGUCCCUCAGGGGCGGCCGGGACCGGGCCGGGGUCACUGCCAGCCGCCGCGGUGGUGGGUAACGUCGGGGAGAGGGCACGGCCGACUUCUCCUUCCCUUUUCCAGCCUUUGUCUCCUGAUUAUGUAACUUGACACUGCGGUCUUCGGAGUUUUCCCAGUUUUCAGCUGACCUCAUUUCAGUGUGCUAAAUAAAAUAGGUGUAAUUGGUGGUUGGAGAGCUAUUUCAGAAUUUCCGCUGGGCCUGUAUGUAUUUAUUUCCUAAGAUCUACGUAGCCUAUAGAUGUGCAUAGUUUUCAGGGGAAAACGGCGAUUCUCUUCACAUGUGGAAGACAUUAAACAGUUUCUGUUUCUGCUGCUUGUUUUGCAUUCUUGUACCAUCAUUUAUUAUUUCUAAAAGUAAACAUAUGCGAAUUCUACAUAAACAAUAAAGCUAUGGGAUUUUCUUAUAAUUUCUCUGUAGAGAGUAGAAAUAUGGUCAUGACUAUGUCCUGGGAAUGUGGGGAUUGCUAAAAAACAAAGUAGAUACUUUUCAGAGAAAAACAGUGCAUGUCAAGUAUCUGAUGAGUCAUAAAACCUCAAGUUAGUGUAAGCAGAUGUUGGUUACAGCUCACAUUGAUGGGAAGUACAUAAUCACCACCCCGAUAGCCUCCCACUGUCCGUUUCUGGUCCAAGAACUUCCCCAAAAGUGUGGUUUCAAUUUUAUGGAAAGCCUUUGAAAUUUGGCACAGCUUCCAAAAGUAUGUAGGAAAAAAAAAGUCUGCCAGAGGUUUGGCCUCCAACUGUGAAAACAGACACUGCCUUUUCAAACUCCUCUCCUAGAUCUACUGACCAACACCCAGAAGAGAGAACUUAGAUUCUUUCAGAAUACAACAGGAGAAUGAAGACCCGGCUAAAAAUCAUAUUUGGCGUGGUUAUAUGCCUUUUGCUUUCCUUAUUACUUAUGUGUAUUAUACUCCUUCCAUCAAGAGUCGUCAACACAGAUGAUGGUCCCAGAGCUCUUACAUUGGAGGAUUAUUUGAAUGGAAACUUCCAAUAUAAAACAUUUUUUCCAUAUUGGGUGUCAGAUAAUGAAUAUCUUCACCAGUCUGCAGAAGAUGAUAUUAUUCUUUACAAUGUUGAAAUUAAUUAUGCAACCACCAUCAUGACAAACAGCACAAUGAAACAAGUUAAUGCUUCAAAUUAUGUGAUGUCAUCAGACCAAUAUUUCAUAGCUCUGGAAAGCAAUUAUUCAAAGCUGUGGAGAUACUCUUACACAGCAUCAUAUCACAUUUAUGAUCUCAUAAAUGGUGGUUUUGUAACAGAAAAUCAGCUUCCACAUAAAAUUCAGUAUAUAUCCUGGUCACCCGUUGGACACAAAUUGGUAUAUGUAUAUCAGAAUGAUAUCUAUUUGAAACAAAGUCCCAGAGAGGCACCAAUUAAAAUAACUAGUGAUGGAAAACAGAAUGAAAUAUUUAAUGGGAUUCCUGACUGGGUCUAUGAAGAGGAGAUGCUAGCAACAAAAUAUGCACUGUGGUGGUCUCCAAGUGGAAGAUAUUUAGCAUACGUACAAUUUAAUGAUUCUGACAUACCUGUUAUUGAAUAUUCAUAUUUUGGUGAGGACCAGUAUCCUAGAAAAAUAACUAUCCCAUACCCAAAGGCUGGAGCUAAAAAUCCUACUGUUAAAGUGUUUAUUGUAGACACUAUUAACCCUGACGCAUUUGGUCCUAAGGAGAUGCCAGUUCCUGCAGUCAUAGCAUCCAGUGAUCACUAUUUUACUUGGCUUACUUGGGUAACAGAUACUCGAAUCUGUGUGCAGUGGCUGAAGAGAAUACAGAAUUUUUCAGUCUUAGCUAUCUGUGACUUCAAAGAACAUUCAAAUACUUGGGACUGUCCAGAGAAUCAACAGCACAUAGAGGAGAGUCAAACAGGAUGGGCAGGCGGAUUCUUUGUUUCUGCACCAUAUUUUACAUCGGACAGCAGUUCAUACUACAAAAUUUUUAGUGACAAAAAUGGUUAUAAGCACAUUCAUUACAUCAAUGGCUCUGUGGAGAAUGCAAUCCAAGUUACAAGUGGAGAAUGGGAGGCAAUAUAUAUUUUCAGAGUAACAAAUGAUGCAAUUUUCUAUUCAAGCAAUGAAUUUGAAGGCUAUCCAGGAAGAAGGAAUAUUUACAAAAUUAGCACUGGAAGUAAACCUAUGAGAAAACAAUGCAUUACUUGCAAUUUAAGGAAAGAGAGAUGUCAGUAUUAUACAGCAAGAUUCAGUGAACGUUCUACGUAUUAUGCCUUGAUCUGUUAUGGUCCUGGGAUUCCCAUUUCUACUCUUUUUGAGAACCGUGGUGAUAGAGAACUCAGAGUAUUGGAAGACAAUUGGGAAUUGCAGUCUGCUUUGCAAGAGAUCAGACUGCCAAGAGAAGAAAUUAAUAAGCUUGAAGUGGAUGGUAUAACUCUGUGGUACAAAAUGCUUCUACCUCCACAGUUCGACAGAUCUAAGAAGUACCCUCUGCUUAUUCAGGUAUAUGGAGGACCUUGCAGUCAGAAUGUAAAGGAAACCUUUAGCAUUAGCUGGAUAACCUAUCUUGCAAGCAAAGAGGGAAUUAUUGUUGCUCUGGUAGAUGGCAGAGGGACAGCUUAUCAAGGUGACAAGAUUUUGCAUGCAGUAUAUCGAAGACUUGGAGUUUAUGAAGUUGAGGACCAAAUCUCAGCAGUUAAAAAAUUUAUAGAAAUGGGCUUUAUUGAUGAAAAACGAAUAGCAAUAUGGGGCUGGUCCUAUGGUGGCUAUGUAAGUUCUUUGGCACUUGGAUCUGGCAGUGGAGUAUUUAAAUGUGGAAUGGCUGUGGCUCCUGUUUCUAGCUGGGAAUAUUACGCAUCAAUCUACACAGAGCGAUUUAUGGGUCUUCCUAUAAAGUCCGAUAAUCUUGAGCACUAUAAGAAUUCAACUGUGAUGGCAAGAGCAAAGAAUUUCCAAAACGUAGAGUAUCUUCUCAUCCAUGGAACAGCAGAUGAUAAUGUACAUUUUCAGAACUCAGCACAAAUUGCAAAAGCUCUGGUUAAUGCCCAGGUGGAUUUCCAGGCAAUGUGGUAUACUGAUCAGAACCAUGGAAUUCCAGGCCUUUCCAGCAAACAUCUCUACACACAUAUGACCCACUUCCUCAAGCAAUGUUUUUCUUUGUCAGAAUAAGUAGGCUACUCAGAGCAUGCUAAGGCAUCUGAGACAUCUUUGGGAGAAUGAAAUUACAGGAGCACCCAAGUUGUAUAGUUUUCAGUGUUCUUGCCAAAGAAUGGGAAUAUGUCUCCAGCAGAGUGUGACAUUUACACUGAAUUGCUGAAAUAAUGUCUAACCUGAAAGCUUUAUGAUAGAGCAACCAUGUAUUUUGAUGACCUGGGAGAAAUUGCCCUAGGAUGCUGUGAGUGUCAAAAAAAGCCACUUAAAAAUACAUCGACAUCAGAUUACUGGCUGGCCUGUGCUUACAACAGGUAAUAUCACAGUCAAUCACUAGAAAUAGUGCAAAGAACUGCAGACCUAAAGUCGCACUGUAACAGAAUCACAGAAUGGCUGGUGUUGGAAGGCAACUUCAGAGGUCAACUUACUCCACUUCCCUGUUCACAUGGGGCUACCUACAUCCUGUAGCCCAGGACUCUGGCCAGAUGCCUUUUGAAUAUCUAAAACCCAUCUGGACGCUCUACAACCUCCCUGGGCCACCUCUGCCAGUGCUUGGUCACCCUCAUAGUGAAAAAAGGGCUUCCUUAUGCUCAAACACAGAACAUUCUAUGUGUCAGUUUGGGCCUGUUGCCUCUUGUUCUGUCAUUAGGCACCAUGGAGAAGAGGCUGGCUCAAUCUUCUUUGGAAGAUAUCAUCCCUUCAGUUAUUUAUAUAUGGUGAUGAGAUUCUCCCAAGCUUUUUCUUCUCUAGAAAGAGAACAUGUUCCAUUCUGCCUCGUCUGCAAACACAAUCCAUGUUACAAGCAUUACCCUGGACAUUCACUGGACAGUUAUUUGCUCCAUUCCACUUCAAUCAGAGAGAAGGGCCUUAGGAGGCUACAGGAUAGGUUCUUUUGUAACAGAUCUCCAAUGGUUGAAAAGUUGAAAAGUUGAAAGGGCUUGUCCUGAGGCAUCAAGGGAAAGCUAACAAUGUGAAUAAAAAGUGUAUAUAACUACACUGCAAACAUAGAAUAUGAUGUGUAAGAGCCAACACUAGGACACAAUUUGAUGUGAGCUAAGCUGUGAACAUCCUCAAAAUUUUGCUUCCCACUUUCAAAUGUUUAGAGGAUCUGGUUUUCAAAAAAUGCUGAGCACUUCCUGUUCUUUUCUCUUUUGGAAAACAUUCUCACACUUCAGAUACUUAAACAUACCAUUUCAGACAAUGAAACAUGAGUCUUUAAAUAUCUGUCAUAUAAACAAGGUAUCCAAGCCUCUGAAGAUAGGACAUAGCUGUUCUGAAUUAGGUAGACAGGCUUAUGAUGAAAUAGCCACAAAUACAGUUGUUUACAAGCCAGUUUCCACUGUGAAUCAUUUCCAGCUUUUACAAAUUGAAACUAGAGCUGAAAAGUAAAAAUUGCUUUAUUCUAGGAGCUGAAGUGUACAUAAAUAGUAGAAAGUCACUGAUUCCACUCCAGACCUGUUUUCAUCAUCUACCUUAUUCGUGCUGUGUGAGCUGUGCACAUGAAAGAACCUGCAAUCCUUAUACUUCAGAGGCAGACCUACAUGAUUUGUUUCACAUGGGAUUACUGCAGCUGCAAGAAAGAAAAGGCCUGAAGAGAAACUUAGCAGAAAACCAGUCAGGUUCUAGAAUAUGGUUGAUGUUAUACUCAUUUUACUCAGAUAUCAAGUCCAAUUCAGACUGCAUUCAAUAGUUCCCAGUUUGUCAGUCAGUUCCAAUUACAAGGCACAGCUGUUUAGAACAUUUUAUAUAGUCAUUUGAAGGCUCUAUAUUUAAUCUGAAUAAUUCAUAGUAUUUGCUAAGAGCAUUUGGUAUUACUUUCAAUUAUGAACAUUGUCUUCUCAGAAUGUAAAAUAACUAGUACGUAUUUGGCCAGCUCUUCUGCUUGCGCAAAUUGAUGCAGCUCCAUUGACUUGCAGUGAAGCGAUUCCAACUUAUGUGAGUAGACAGCGUGAGUUACAGCACAGUUACAGUGACUGUGGCUCCUGAGGUACAAACCACUUAGCACUCCUGGCAGAGAGCAUGGAGCUGCAUGCUGUCAAAAGGCCUAGAGUGCCCAAACUAACCCUCCAUUUCAGAAAGCCAUUCUUGCUCCCCAAAGGGCGGCUGUACAGCUGUACACAUACAUAGGCACACACUGUGUGUGUUAUGUGCAAGCACACAUUUAUGAUGUAACCUGGUGUUUUAUGUGUGCAUGUGUUUACACAUAUGUUCCUCCUAUAUUGGUUCCCAUUCUCAGAAGGGGAAUGCUCUUUGUGAUUACCAUGUAACAAAGACAGCAAAAUGAAAGGGGCUGCAGGGACCAGCCCUCUGAGCUCACAGCUGACAAGCUUAGGAGAGAAUGCUUUCUGUAUAAUAAAAAAAAGUAAAGGGUGUGGGCCUGUAGUCAUACCCCAAGAUACAUCCUCCUCCCUUUAGACAUGUAAUGGAUAAUAAUAUAAUAGUAAAAAAUAUUUAAUGAAGAAAUACACAAAAGAAUUUGGUGGGGAUACUCUUUUGAAAGCAUUUGAUGAGUAUUUUUUUACUUUUUACUGUCAAAAGCCAGCAAAUUCCUAAUUCAUUAAAAUAUUCAAAUCUUGGCAAUUUUGAUCAGAUGAUGGUACAGGAAGCUUUGAUAAAUUCCAGAUACAGUGAACCCAACCACUCCAAUUGAAUCAUGAGAAACGUGAAAAUUUCCUGAAGGCAGGCCACUUUCAGCUUCUUUCUCUUAGUCUGACUCAAAGUAUUGUCUCAUUUGAGAACACUGAUCUAGAGGACAGUGAGGUUGCCCUUAAUUUUUGCCAGGAGGUGCCAACUAACUGGUGUAUUUUAAAACGUGAGAGGAACAAACCUGAGUGUAUGUGCAUAUCUCAUACACUCGAUAUAAUUUUGUUUGGAAACUGUUUUUUGCUGUGGUCCUGAAAUAUAUACUAUAGAUUCAGUUAUGGCAACAGAGGGUUGCGUGGUUCUUGAUUCGCAGUUCACUUCUUUCCUGUACAUUUUCUGUGUACCACUUGAAAAACAAAUAACUGGUCACCUUCUAGAUGCUAGAUGACCUGCUGGAUGGUACAGCUCUGUGACAACCUGCCCAACUAGGUGCAAUGAGGUGCUCUGUCUCACUUUUUUGUUCUGGAAUCAUCCUAAUGUAAACGAGGAACUUUAUAUGACACAAUAA